AACGAACGCUGGCGGCAGGCCUAACACAUGCAAGUCGAGCGAGGACUUCGGUCCUAGCGGCGGACGGGGGAGUAACGCGUGGGAACGUGCCCUUUGCUUCGGAAUAGCCCUGGGAAACUGGGAGUAAUACCGGAUGAGCCCUUUGGGGGAAAGAUUUAUCGGCGAAGGAUCGGCCCGCGUUGGAUUAGGUAGUUGGUGGGGUAAUGGCCUACCAAGCCGACGAUCCAUAGCUGGUUUGAGAGGAUGAUCAGCCACACUGGGACUGAGACACGGCCCAGACUCCUACGGGAGGCAGCAGUGGGGAAUCUUAGACAAUGGGGGAAACCCUGAUCGAGCCAUGCCGCGUGAGCGAUGAAGGCCUUAGGGUUGUAAAGCUCUUUCAGCUGGGAAGAUAAUGACGGUACCAGCAGAAGAAGCCCCGGCUAACUCCGUG
rnacentral:rRNA from 1 species